rnacentral:rRNA from 1 species
GACGAACGCUGGCGGCGUGCUUAACACAUGCAAGUCGAACGGAAAGGCCCUGCUUUUGUGGGGUGCUCGAGUGGCGAACGGGUGAGUAACACGUGAGUAGCCUGCCCUUGACUUUGGGAUAACUUCAGGAAACUGGGGCUAAUACCGGAUAGGAGCUCCUGCUGCAUGGUGGGGGUUGGAAAGUUUCGGCUGUUGGGGAUGGACUCGCGGCUUAUCAGCUUGUUGGUGGGGUAGUGGCUUACCAAGGCUUUGACGGGUAGCCGGCCGGAGCGGGUGACCGGCCACAUUGGGGCUGCGGUACGGCCCAGACUCCUCCGGGAGGCAGCAGUGGGGAAUAUUGCACCAUGGGCGGAAGCAUGAUGCAGCAACGCUGCGUGCGGGAUGAAGGCCGUCGGGUUGUAAACCGCUUUCGCCUGUGACGAAGAGAGAGUGACGGUAAUGGGUAAAGAAGCACCGGCUAACUACGUG